GCGUGGGUGUGUACCCGCGACGCCAGCGCUCAGGUGGGAUUUCCCGGUGAAGACAAAACACCGUUGUCAAUUAUACAAUGAGCUGGAGUCCAGUCUGAGCUACAGGAGACGCUCUCUCAGAAAACGAAGCAUAAAGGCCAGAGAGACGGCUCAGCAGCUAAGGAUCCCGCAAGAACUACUCAAUCCCCUGAGCAGUGCUGAAGAACUGGAUUCCACCUCUUGAAGGUCUCAUCAAGAACCGAGUCUUUACACAAGAACCUUGGAGAACACACCACAUCCACACUGUCGCAGUCAGACUUCAAAAGUGUUUUUGAGACUGGCCCCCUCCAUGCUGGAGUUACAGAGGUAAAGCACCAUGUCUGACUCUGCUUUCCAUUUUAGGGGAGGUGCACACAGAUAAAACACUAUUGCGUACA